CAAUGUCACUAACUAUGUUCACUAACUAUGUUAGAUCAAACAUCGACAAAACAUUAGAGGUCCAGACUUGUCGUUCAUAAGUUUUGUCUUCGGCAUAUUAGUUUAAAGUGGCUAGAAAACACAAUGUUGCAAUUUGUGUCAUAGCUUAUCAGCAUUGGAGGCUCAGAAUUGUUGUGUAUAGUACAAAGAAUUACAGAUGACAGCUUUAUGACAAGAGUGCGCACGUGCAAAUCAAAACUGGCUCACAGUUUCAAUAAUAAAAAAAAGUAUUUGGAUAAAGUCCCUAGACAAGAAUUCAAACGUAUUACAGCACAGACUUGACCAGAGACUGAAGCAAAUAUUCUCGUCUUUUAUUUCCAAA
rnacentral:sRNA from 1 species